rnacentral:lncRNA from 1 species
UUCAGCUUGUGUGUCAUUACCGUAGGGUCAAUUCCAGGCAUGUCGGAGGGCUUCCAGGCGAAACUAGAUGCAUGACCUCGGAUCAGGGCCAUGACUUCAGCUUUUUGUUCUUUAGUGAGGCCGGCGUUGAGACUGAAGACCUUUUCUGCCUCUGCUUCUGAUAAAGGGAAGAUCUCCAGCUCCCCCACCGGUUCUGUCCUGGCCUCUGUUUUCUCAUCCCGAACCUCUAGAACUUCCGAGUCAAGAGCUUUUCCAGUGGAGCUCGGUUCUGCUACUGUGGCUAAGUAUACUGCUCUUGCCUCUUCCUGGCUGCCCCGGACUAUUCCCACCCCUUCUUCUGUUGGAAAUUUAAGCGCCAAA